rnacentral:rRNA from 1 species
CCUACGGGAGACAGCAGUGAGGAAUAUUGGUCAAUGGACGAGAGUCUGAACCAGCCAAGUAGCGUGAAGGAUGACUGCCCUAUGGGUUGUAAACUUCUUUUAUAUGGGAAUAAAAUGUUCCACGUGUGGGAUUUUGUAUGUACCAUAUGAAUAAGGAUCGGCUAACUCCGUGCCAGCAGCCGCGGUAAUACGGAGGAUCCGAGCGUUAUCCGGAUUUAUUGGGUUUAAAGGGGGCGUAGGUGGAUUGUUAAGUCAGUUGUGAAAGUUUGCGGCUCAACCGUAAAAUUGCAGUUGAAACUGGCAGUCUUGAGUACAGUAGAGGUGGGCGGAAUUCGUGGUGUAGCGGUGAAAUGCUUAGAUAUCACGAAGAACUCCGAUUGCGAAGGCAGUUCACUGGACUGCAACUGACACUGAGGCUCGAAAGUGUGGGUAUCAAACAGGAUUAGAUACCCGGGUAGUC